rnacentral:tRNA from 1 species
AGUGUAGUCUAAAGGUUAAGACAUCGGACUUUGACUCCGGUAUUGCUGGGUUCGAAUCCCGCCACUUC